rnacentral:rRNA from 1 species
UGGGGAAUUUUGGACAAUGGGCGCAAGCCUGAUCCAGCCAUGCCGCGUGCGGGAAGAAGGCCUUCGGGUUGUAAACCGCUUUUGUCAGGGAAGAAAUCUUCUGAGUUAAUACCUCGGGAGGAUGACGGUACCUGAAGAAUAAGCACCGGCUAACUACGUGCCAGCAGCCGCGGUAAUACGUAGGGUGCAAGCGUUAAUCGGAAUUACUGGGCGUAAAGCGUGCGCAGGCGGUUUUGUAAGACAGGUGGUGAAAUCCCCGGGCUCAACCUGGGAACUGCCUUUGUGACUGCAAGGCUUGAGUGCGGCAGAGGGGGAUGGAAUUCCGCGUGUAGCAGUGAAAUGCGUAGAUAUGCGGAGGAACACCGAUGGCGAAGGCAAUCCCCUGGGCCUGCACUGACGCUCAUGCACGAAAGCGUGGGGAGCAAACAGGAUUAGAUACCCUGGUAGUCCACGCCCUAAACGAUGUCAACUGGUUGUUGGGAAGGUUCCUUCUCAGUAACGUAGCUAACGCGUGAAGUUGACCGCCUGGGGAGUACGGCCGCAAGGUUG